rnacentral:rRNA from 1 species
UGCCUACGGGCGGCAGCAGUGGGGAAUAUUGGACAAUGGGCGAAAGCCUGAUCCAGCCAUGCCGCGUGAGUGAUGAAGGCCUUAGGGUUGUAAAGCUCUUUCAGUGGGGAAGAUAAUGACGGUACCCACAGAAGAAGCCCCGGCUAACUUCGUGCCAGCAGCCGCGGUAAUACGAAGGGGGCUAGCGUUGUUCGGAUUUACUGGGCGUAAAGCGCACGUAGGCGGAUCGUUAAGUCGGGGGUGAAAUCCUGGAGCUCAACUCCAGAACUGCCUUCGAUACUGGCGAUCUAGAGUCCGGAAGAGGUGAGUGGAACUCCUAGUGUAGAGGUGGAAUUCGUAGAUAUUAGGAAGAACACCAGUGGCGAAGGCGGCUCACUGGUCCGGUACUGACGCUGAGGUGCGAAAGCGUGGGGAGCAAACAGGAUUAGAUACCCGUGUAGUC